rnacentral:rRNA from 1 species
AUUGAACGCUGGCGGCAGGCCUAACACAUGCAAGUCGAGCGGGGGAAGGUAGCUUGCUACCGGACCUAGCGGCGGACGGGUGAGUAAUGCUUAGGAAUCUGCCUAUUAGCGGGGGACAACAUAUCGAAGGGGAUGCUAAUACCGCAUACGUCCCACGGGAGAAAGCAGGGGAUCUUCGGACCUUGCGCUAAUAGAUGAGCCUAAGUCGGAUUAGCUAGUUGGUGGGGUAAAGGCCUACCAAGGGGAAGAUCUGUAGCGGGUCUGAGAGGAUGGACCGCCAAACUGGGACUCAGACACGGCCCGUACUCCUACGGGAGGAAGCAGUGGGGAAUAUUGGACAAUGAGGGGAAACCUGAUCCAGCCAUGCCGCGUGUGUGAAGAAAGCCUUAUGGUUGUAAAGCACUUUAAGCGAGGAGGAGGCUACUCUAGUUAAUACCUAGGGAUAGUGGACGUUACUCGCAGAAUAAGCACCGGCUAACUCUGUGCCAGCCGCCGCAGUAA